rnacentral:snRNA from 1 species
GUGCUUGCUUCGGCAGCACGUAUACUAAAAUUGGAACUAUACAGAGAAGAUUAGUAUGGCCCCUGCACAAGGAUGACACGCAGGAUCACUCUCCUGUA